rnacentral:rRNA from 1 species
CGUUAUGGUUCUAUUUUGUUGGUUUCUAGGACCAUCGUAAUGAUUAAUAGGGACGGUCGGGGGCAUCAGUAUUCAGUUGUCAGAGGUGAAAUUCUUGGAUUAACUGAAGACUAACUACUGCGAAAGCAUUUGCCAAGGACGUUUUCAUUAAUCAAGAACGAAAGUUAGGGGAUCGAAGAUGAUCAGAUACCGUCGUAGUCUUAACCAUAAACUAUGCCGACUAGGGAUCGGGUGGCGCUUCUUGCCCACUCGGCACCUUACGAGAAAUCAAAGUCUUUGGGUUCUGGGGGGAGUAUGGUUGCAAGGCUGAAACUUAAAGGAAUUGACGGAAGGGCACCACCAGGAGUGGAGCCUGCGGCUUAAUUUGACUCAACACGGGACAGCUUACCAGGUCCAGACAUGAUAAGGAUUGACAAGUUAGAGACUUCUCUUGAUCUCAUGGGUGGUGGUGCAUGGCCGUUUUUAGUCCUUGGAGUGAUUUGUCUGCUUAAUUGCGAUAACGGACGAGACCUUAACCUGCUAAAUAGGCGGGCCAACGUCAGUUGGCUGCGUCUUCUUAGAGGGACUAUGGGGAACAACCCCAUGGAAGUUUGAGGCAACAACAGGUCUGUGAUGCCCUUAGACGUUCUGGGCCGCACGCGCGCUACACUGACGGAGCCAGCAAGGACCUUUGCCGAGAGGCCUGGGGAAACUCGUGAAACUCCGUCGUGC